rnacentral:rRNA from 1 species
UACGAACUGUGCAAACGUUAUUCGGAAUCACUGGGCUUAAAGGGUGCGUAGGCGGCUUGUUAAGUAGGGUGUGAAAUCCCCCGGCUCAACCGGGGAAUUGCGCCCUAAACUGGCGAGCUGGAGUGAGAUAGGGGUGUGUGGAACUUCCAGUGGAGCGGUGAAAUGUGUUGAUAUUGGAAGGAACGCCAGUGGCGAAAGCGACACACUGGGUCUCAACUGACGCUGACGGCACGAAAGCCAGGGGAGCAAACGGG